rnacentral:lncRNA from 1 species
CCCACUCUGUGAUCCUAUGGUCCCAUAAUCACCUCCCCCUGCCCAGCACCCCUAUGUCCCUCCCACACCCUGGAGCACCCCCCCCCCCCCCUCAGCGCUGAAUCCUGAACACAGCAUCACCCAUCCUCUCUAUCCAGCACCCCCCAUCCCAUCUCAUCACCCCGACCCUGCAUCAUGACCCUCCCCCUCCCCCCCCCAGCCUCGGAAUGCAAUGUGCUGAGACCUGGGGGGGGCGAGGGGCCAAAGUGGGGGGGUGAAGAAGAAGCAGAAUGGGAUGGGGAGGGCUCCCUGCUUCACAGGGCUCCACUACCCUAUAAGAAGCAGCUGGGGUGUGGAGUAUUGGGGCAGGAAUGGGGGGGCUGGUGUAGGCCCCCACCCCAUUUGCCCUCAGCUGGAGGGAUUGUGGUGGGGGGCUGCAAUAGGGCAGGACAGCAGAGGGGAGCUGUGAGGGCUCAAACUGAGGGGGGAGUAGGAAGUGCUUUGCCCCCCACACAGCCCAUGGGCCCAGAGGUGACAGAGCCCCCCCCAGAGAGCUGGGGUGCUCAGCGCUGUCUCCCUGGAACUGUAACUUUUCUUCCUUGUUCCCACUGUGGGUACAGAUGUGGGGGGAAUGACACCCCAUAGGGUCACCCCAUAUGUGCCGAGGAUGCUGGCACACCCCAGGUCGGAGCACAGCUGAGCAUCCCCAUGCGGGGGCUGGGGGGGGGGGGGGGCGGCUGUCAUCUCCUUGGGGACUCUGCACUAUAGCAAUGGAUUUUGGUGAUGUAACCCCAAAAUAAUGUGGGUUGCGCUGAGCUUGGCCCAAAUCCUGCCCUGUCACCCUCACUGCUGUCACCACGGGCAUCCUGCCCGCAGCAUGCCCCCCCCACCCCCAGCACCCCCCCCCUCAGGCCUGGCCUCCUUUCCUCCUGCAUCAUCCACGUCAAUUGCGGUGAGGGGUCCUGAGCACCCUCCUGCCCCAAAUCAAGUAGGGAAUGGAGGAGGGAUGGGGGGAGCUGGCCCUGUUUGGGCUGUGGGGGGGGGCAGUGCCCUCGGGGGAGCAGGGCCGGGCUGUGCUGUUGGCUCGGGGUGACCUUGGAUGAGCGGUGCCAUCCCCUCUGCCUCAAUUUCCCCUCUACCCAGAGCACAGCUGGGGGGGGGGUGGGGUGGGGGGCAGGUAGACAACACCCCCCACACCACCUUCCUGCAGCUGUAGCUCAAGGAGAUGCGGACAAAGCAGGCACCCCUGCCCCCCCCCUCCUCCUUCCCCAGUACCCCAUGGUCCAUUGCAGCCUGCUGGGCUCUGGUGCAGGAUGUGGCCCCCAGUGCUGCUAUCUCUAUUGCACCCAGUGCAGGGGGAUGUGUGUGGGGGGGGGGGGGGGGGAGAGGGGGGGCAGAGCGAGGUGCUGAGCGCCAUGCAGAGGGGUGCAGGAGGCUGCGGGGUGACGUGGGAACUGGGUCACUGCUGUCACCGGGGCACGUGGCUGCUGCGUUCGGAGGUGGUGUGUAUGGGGGGGGGGGGGGGGGGGCGGGCUGCACACCGUCCUCCUGGGAUGGGGGGGGGUUGUUCCUGAGGCCGUAGGGCUGAGGGGGCUCCCGGGGUUCCGCUCCCCUCUGUGCUAUGGGUGCUGAUCCUGCCGGGUGCGGGGAGCCACUUGGCAGGAGAUGUUUUUGCUCAGCGCGGCCGUUCCCAUAAACAAAGGGAAAUUACCAAAUUACCCCCUGACAGCUCCGGGAGCUGCUCGGCUCGUGCCUGACGGAUACCAACGGGCCGUGGUGGGAUGGGGAGAGCCGUGCAGGAACGUGGGCACGGGGCUGGGGUGGGCGCGUGGGCACGGGGGUGCACGCGUCCCCAGUGCAGAGCUAUGCGUGGCUGCAGGGAUGUGCGCUGCCCCUCAUCCCGUGGGGCUCAGCAGCGCUGCACCAUACGACCUCGAGUCAUGGGCUGGGAGGUGACAUGCCAGCCUGGGUGUCACCAUCCCCAUCCCGUGCCCUGCGUGAGCUGCACGCGAUGCUUUUGCUGGCGGUGUGUCCUGCGAGCAUCGCUCCGUGCUCAGCUGCGCUGCCGCCUGGGGGGCUCUACUGUGCCCCCCUCCCCACUGUGCCUCCAUCCCUGUGGUGAGUGCUGUGAAGGCGCCGGUGCCGGAGCUCAGUGCAGAGCCGUGCUGCAGUGCUGGCCGCGCUCGCAGCCUCAGGUUUUUAAUUAAAGCUGCCAGCUUGGACGUGGUUUUCCAGCGGGCUGAGCCGCGCCGUGGCCGGGCUGUGGGCGCAGCCGUGCAGUGGGGCUCCGUCGUUGUGUUUUGGGGGGCUGUUUUGGGGGUGCGGGCUGUGAUGCUGCGUGGUGCUCGGCCUCUCCUCCUGCUUAAUCCGUGGUGGGGUAUAUGUGGGAGGUUUAUUUGUUGCUCCCAUCAUCCCAAGGCGCUGGGUGGCUCUGGGUACCUCCUGCCCAUCCCCGGCACCCCUGAAGCUCCAGGCCUCGGCAACGGCCCCCUAAAGAACCAAGCUGGGGUUUGGUUCCCUUUAAUGCGAUGGGAUGGAGAGGGAGAAGGAUUGUCUGGAGCGGAGGAGACUCCCAGUGGGGCUGGAUUGUGCUAACGGGAUUUUACUCCCUAUUUAAUUACAAUUUUGUCAAAUGACAGAAAAAAAAAAAGAAAAAAGAGAGAUCCUUCUCAUCUCUUUGCGCAGCUCCCAGGAGCGGCAGCCCUUAAUUACGCAGCAGGUGGCAGCCGCCACCAGUCCCCAAAGGGGGUCCCAGCCCCACGGUGGGACUCAGGGUCUGCCUGUCUCCGCUCUGUCCCAUUGCCUCCCAGUACGGUUUGGGGGCCCUGGGCUGGCGCCGGGGCUGACAGCGGCCGUGGAUGCGGCGUGCUGAUGUGCCGUGGCUAAUCCUCAGCUCUUCCCCUUGUAAUCCUGCCCACGGGGAUAAUCCCAUCAAACCCGGCAGCGGAGCUCAGGGCCGGGUGCGCCCGUAUCGCCCAUAGCACCGCGUUUGGUGCCGAAUGGAUCCUGGGGUGGUGGUGGUCCCCGGGGGAGCAGCUGAGAGCGGUGGGUAUGGCAGCGGUGGGGGUGUGCAGAGCAGGGAGUGACCAUUGUGCUUGGAUGGGGAAACUGAGGCACGGAGCAGCAGCACUGAGCGAUACGGGGACGGUGACAUCCAACUCCGGUGCCAAACGCAGCACCGGGGGAAAGGGAGAGCUGGGGAAGGGCACGGGGUGCUGCUCCCACAGUGAGCCCCAGUGAGGUCGGGUGCAGCUCAGGUUUGGGUGGCGGGGCAGAGCUCUGUCCCAUUUGUCACCUCCCAGCAGGGGAGGUUGGGGAGCGCUCCGAAGGUGAUGGGGAAGGCUGGGAUGGGAAUUGUUCCCUGUGCAGCGUGGGCUGGUCCUGUCCCGGCAGCAGGUAGGGAGUGCUGCGCUGCAAAUAACCCGGCAGCUGCCCGGCACCUGCUGUGCCAUACCCUUCAUUUCACCUUUUGGAGUUAUCUCAGUGGUGUGAGGUCAGCGCUGGGAAUAGCCCCAUGGCUGCUGGUGGCUGAGGGCCGUCCCACAGAGCUGAGCCAGGAUCCUGAGGUGCAUGGGGUGUGUGUGUGGGGGGGGGGGAUGCAUCUGAUCCACCGCAGCCCCCCCUCCCCAGAACGAUGCUCGUUUCAGAGCCAUUGGUCAGAGCACGCACACACACAGGAGCAUUGCGUGCCCCCCCAUAACUUGCACACACAUUCAUGCACCCACAUAUUCAUGCACACACACAAGCACAUGUCUGCAUGUACCCACACACGCAUGUGCAUGCGGCCAUGUACAUGCACACACAUGUGCACAUGCAUGCAUGCAUGCACACACCCUGCUCAUGCAUGCACACAUGUGUGUGCACAAAGACGCACGUACACAUGCGUGCAGCUGCGCAUGCAUGCACGUUUGCACGCACACGUGUGCAUGCACAUACCUGUGUGUACACGCACCUACACGCACACACAUGGUAGCACCACACGCCCACUUACACCAUGUGCAUCCCCCCGCGUGCCCAGCACACCACCCACACCCGUGCACGCGCAGAGGCCCUGUGUGCAAACACCCCCCCCCCCCCCGCUGCUGUGCACACGGCUCCUGCUGCCCAUCACAUGCACGCGCACUGACACCUGCGUGCAAGCAGCAGCCUGCUGUGCACACACCAGUGCUCACACCCCAACACCUGCACAUACACACACACACGUGUGACAGCAGUGCACGCACAGACACCUGCACAGACCCCACACCACCUCCCCAGCCCUUUGAAAGCCCCUCAAAGCUCCCUCUGCUUUUGAACAGUUCCUCCCCCGGAAGCACGAAUCAAUACUCUUCCCCCCCCCCCCCCCCCCCCCCUUCUCUGCUUGCUCCUGGGCCCUUAGCAACACAUCUGCCUCCAAGUGCACAUCUGCUCUGCACCGGGGAGGGGACAGGGACCCCAUAUCCCAAGGUGGGGGCUGGGGGGCUCUGUCACCUCCCAGCUGGGAGCAUUGCAGCAGGGCUCGUGCAGCCCCCACUGCCCACCCGUUGGGUGAUGGCACCGACAGAGGUGUCCUCAAAUCCAGCUUUAGGGUGGAGAGCUCUUCUCCUUCCCCCAUCCCCACCCACCGUGGCAGCAGAACAAGGCACUAUUUCGGGGCAGUGAGGAAGCACCUGACCUUCCGGCGAGCGCACAGGCGGGGGCACAGAGUGCAAACAAUGGCCCUUUGUUCCCCACCAGCAACAUCCUGCAGCCCCCAGCCCGGCUGCAGCUCCGCUAUGGUGCAUCCCACAUCAUGGGGAUGGGGCUGUCCUGGUGUAUGUGGGGGCUCAGUCACAUGGAAUGGGUCAGGGCUACACAUGGUGGCUCCCAGCUCUCCCCCCUCCUUGGCUGCCGUCCGGCGGUUCAUUCAGCUGAUGGAGAUGGUGAUAGGAAAUGCAGAAGUGGGAUGGAGCCGGGUCAUAGCAGCGAGUCUGCAGCCUGCCAGGAGGAGGAGGAAGAGGAGGAGGUGGUGGCCAUGUGAAGGCUGCGCUUGCACAGCACUGCCCACACCUUGGUUGCAGCAGGUGCAUGCAUUCCUCCUGGGGAGCUGAGCUGAGCUGAGCUCUGCCAUUCUGGGCUGUGCUGUGCCAUUCUGGACUGUGCCAUUCUGGGCUGUGCUGUGCCAUUCUGGGCUGUGCUGAGCUGUGCUGUGCCAUUCUAUGCCAUGUUGUGCCAUUCUGAGCUGUGCUGUGCCGUUCUGAGCUGUGCUGUGCCGUGCUGUGCCAUUCUGCACCAUGCUGAGCUGUGCUGUGCCAUUCUAUGCCAUGUUGUGCCAUUCUGAGCCAAGCUGAGCUGUGUCAUGGCAGAGCCGUGCCGUGCCAUUCUGUGCUGAACCGUGCCGUUCUGAGCUGUGCUGUGCCAUGUGGAGCCACGCUGGCCUGAACUGUGCCAUUCUGAGCUGAACCACAUCAUUCUGAGCAGAACCAUGCCAUUCUGAGCCAUUCAGAGCUAUGCUGUGCCAUUUGGAGCUGUGUAAAGCUGUGUCAGGCCAUGCCAUGCCAUUCUGUGCCACCGUAAGCUGUGCCGUGCCAUUCUGGGCCAUGGUAAGCCAUGCCAUGCCAUUCUGAGCUGUGGUAAGCUGUGUCAUGCCAGUCUGAGUCAUGCUGACCUGUGUCAUGCCAUUCUGAGCCAUGGUAAGCUGUGCCCUGCCAUUCUGAGUCAUGCAGUGCCAUUCCAUGCCAUUCUGAGCCAUGGUAAGCUGUGCCAUGCCAUUCUGAGUCAUGCUGAGCAGUGCCCUCCUGUUCUGAGCCAUGGUAAGCCAUGCCAUGCCAUUCUGAGCCAUGGUAACCCAUGCCAUGCCAUUUUGAGCCAUGCUGAGCUGUGCCCUGCCAUUCUGAGCCAUGGUAAGCCAUGCCAUGCUGUUCUGAGCCAUGGUAAGCUGUGCCAUGCCAUUCUGAGUCAUGCAGUGCCAUUCCAUGCCAUUCUGAGCCAGGGUAAGCUGUGCCCUGCCAUUCUGAGCCACGGUAAGCCAUGCCAUGCUGUUCUGAGCCAUGGUGAGCAGUGCCAUGCCAUUCUGAGCCAUGGUAAGCUGUGCCAUGCCAUUCUGAGCCAUGCGGUGCCAUUCCAUGCCAUGCCUCAGGGCAGAGAGAUGAGGAGGGGGGAUGUGAAACGAAGACCCACAUGGGGAUCUGGGGGUCACCACCACCUCAAGGUGACUGCGUGGGUAGGCACUGCGGUCCCUUUGCCCUCCCUCCCCACGCUGACCCCGGGCACACAGCGGAUAUUUCAUCUUAUUUGACUCCAGAUCAGUUUGUUGAAGCAUAGAAAUUUCAAACCGAGGCGCUGGGUGCCCGAGCUUGGAGCAAUUAAAGGUAACAUUUUCCCAAGCAGAGCGAAGCAGCCGAGCGCAUCCCGGCACCACGGAGAUGCGGGGGAGACUAAAGAGGAAAUCAAAACAACAACAAUAAAUAAACUUUUCUUAAGGCUUAAAGAAAAAUGAGACAGCGGAUGGGCUGAGCUGCCCCCCCACCCCCAUCCCCCACCUCCUCCUGUCCUGCCGGGACCUGCAGGUUUGCUGCUUUCUCGUGGCUGGGGUGACUUUUGUUGCUGCUUUGUUUUUGUAGGGUUGCUCUUAAACAUUGUGUUUACAUCCCCCAAAGCAGCGCUGUGGGGUGGCCUCGUCACGGUAGGGCUGUGCUUUGUUGGUGUAGGGUUGGCACCUGGAGCAGUUGGUGGGAACAGAGGGGUUAUUGUAGGGAUGCUGCUUGGUGCUGGGGUUAAACGUGGGGUUGGUAUUGUAGGGUGCCCACUUAGAGCUGGGGUUAAACAUGGGGUUAUUAUGGUAGGGUGCCCUCUUGGAACUGGAUCCUAACACAUGGGGUUGGUAUUGUAGGGUGCCCACUUAGAGCUGGGGUUAAACAUGGGGUUAUUAUGGUAGGGUACCCACUUGGAGCUGGAUCCAAACACAUGGGGUGGGUAUUGUAGGGUGCCCAGUUGGAGCUGGGGUUAAACAUGGGUAUGUUAUUGUAGGGUACCCACUUGGAGCUGGAUCCUAACACAUGGGGUUGGUAUUGUAGGGUGUCCAUUUGGAGCUGGGUCCUGACACGUGGAUGUGUUAUUGUGGGGUGCCCACUUGGAGCUGGGGUUAAACAUGGGUUUGGUAUUUUAGGGUGCCCGUUCAGCUCUGAGGCUCUGCAUGCUGGUUGCCAUGGGGUCCCAUUGCCAAAGGCAGAUCCCAUCCCCAGGUUGCACUUCUCCAUGGUCACGGGGCCACCAGGCUGGGGGCAGUGG